rnacentral:rRNA from 1 species
GUGAACCUGCGGAAGGAUCAUUAUCGUACAAUGGGAGGCACCGGAGCUGUCGCUGGCCUUUUCCUUUCAAGGUCGUGCACGCCCCGAGUGUUCUCAUUCACACACAUCCACCUCACCUUUGUGCAUCACCGCGUGGGCUCCUCAAAGAGGGGCUUGCGUUCUUACACAUACACCCUUUUGAAUGCACCGUAGGAUGUCUUGCUUUUAUUAAUAAAUGCAAUCUAAUAUAACUUUCAACAACGGAUCUCUUGGCUCUCGCAUCGAUGAAGAACGCAGCGAAAUGCGAUACGUAAUGUGAAUUGCAGAAUCCAGUGAAUCAUCGAAUCUUUGAACGCACCUUGCGCCCCUUGGCAUUCCGAGGGGCACACCCGUUUGAGUGUCGUGAAAUCCUCAACCUUCUCUGUUUCUUUUGAAUCAGAAAAGGCUUGGACUUUGGAGGUUUCUGCUGGUCUCUCUUGAAGCCAGCUCCUCUUAAAUGUAUUAGCAGGGUCCUCUUGGUCGAUCCUCGACGUGAUAAGAUUCUUUUACGUCGGUGGGCUCGGCUUUGCCCCUUUUGGGACCUCUGCUUUCAAUCGUCUCAGAGUUGCUCUUUGACAUACAAUGAACCCUUUGACCUCAAAUCGGGUGAGACUACCCGCUGAACUUAAGCAUA